CCCUGCCAUCAGGAGGAUUACCAACCACUAAGUCAGGCACCAGAUCAGGCUGCCCAGGGCUGCAUCCAACCCAACUUUGAACAUCUGUACAGAUGGGGCAUCCACAACCUUUCUCGGAACCAUAGGCUGAUAUCCCAAAUUGCAGUUGGACUCGUCAAGAGAACAAGGGAUACUCUUGCAUCAACAAUGCACUGCUCCCCUCCAUGGUGAAUUGCUGACACGCUCCCCCA
rnacentral:lncRNA from 1 species